UCGCUACUGUACAGUCAAUGGCGGCAUAGCGGCGACGCGCAUUGGAACUUGGAAGUGGUUGCAUGUGUGACUUGAUGUGGCGUUGCAUGUGGGAGACCCCGUUGGUAAUGCAGUAGUGGGCUAUGCCCUUCAACAAUCUAUUAUGUCCAACCAUUAAAUGAGUCGCAUGGGACUAAGUCAACCAAACGGGGCAACAACAAUUAGUCACCUAUGAAAUUAGUCAGUGGAAAACAACAUUCAUUCCUGAGGAUGGUUUUGAGUUUAUCUAUGCUAAUUGUAUGAAUAAUUUUUAUUGUUAUUAUUUUAGAUCUAAUAUCCAAGGGAUUUCUUUAGCAUGAUUGAAAUUUGCCAUGUUUUCAGGCCAACUGGAAGGAUUCCUCUUUUUCACAGAACUUUACCAUUUUCAUUGUAUAUAUUGUUUGUCGGUGGAUUGUCACUUGGCAUCAUUUGAAUGGUAUGGUCCAUAUCAGCAGUGUUAUGAUGCACUUCUUAAAUACACCAAUCCCUGAGAAAAUAUUCUAAUUGAAAUAAUGGAAAUUUCUGCCUUUCAUGCAGAACUGCACAAUGAUGGGGCUAGGUAGUAUGAAAUGAAAGGUCUUCUCUUGGAAGUUGGUGUCUAUGGAUUUGUUUGAAAUGAUUUUUGAGGCAGGAAGUGUUUCCUGCUUCUUAUGAAAAGGGACAUUGGAUGCCUUAAUGUCUAAUACCAACCAAGUGUCAUUGCAAAGAUAGAAUAUCCUGAGUGGGAGAAUUGGAUCACAGUUGACUAGAUGUUUUACUAUGUUAAAUGAGUUUAUCACAAAAAAUUUGUUACUCAUUCACGUUCUGUUUCUGUAAUGUAGGUAGAAUAAUCGCAAUGUCGUGGUAGUAAUUCGCGAGAGAUAUGCCAAUAGGGUUUCGCUGUUUUUAAUUCGCAAUCGUAAUGGAUUCGAAGAGGAUAUUGAUGGAGUUUUGGUAUAAAAAAGUAUAAGUACAUGUUCGUUGGAAGGGCAACCGAAGAGUUCCGGAUCCUUUUAAUGUCGCCCAUGUUAUGUGCGUAUAAAACGAAAGGAUAAAAGAAGAAGAAUGAUUCAAAAAUUGUGGGAGAGAAUCAUCAAAGAAUUAUAUUCGUUUAGGUAAUCAAAGGAAGAGUAUUAACUCGGCGCAGUCUUCGGUUCCAUCUUUUUAAAAGCUGUUUUUACUGUGCAUGGAAUUUUUUUUGUCGAGACGUUAUGGGUAUCUUAAAGGCACUGAAGGUUGCGUUAGAUUUCAUAAUCCCCAACAAAAAGGAAACGCUGAAAAUCCCAGGUGGCGAUGGGAAUUAGUGGCAAUGUUACUGUGUAGAUAACUUCAGAAAGUGGGACGCUAGCUGAUGUAAACCGCAUCAGCUGUGCUAUUACCGAGUCUGUCUCACUUUUGCCGCCAGCAGGAAACGGUUGUGAGAGUAGCAGAAGACACCAGCUCCCUGGUGUCGUAUGCUUCCACGACACAGGCCCCCCCGCCUCUAUUGUUAAGGGGGGGCUGGUGUCGCGCUCUUCGCCGAAUGAUGAUGCAUUGCCACCAGCACCAGCCCUCUUAAAAUCAUUCAAGUACGGGGAGGCCAGUGUCGUAGUAUCAUACGACACCAGCCCCCCCUUCCCUCAAAUUAAUUUAAUCGAAGAGGCUGUCGCAGUGGCAGUCGACACCAGUCCCCUUAUCAGUGAUUUAGUUGAACGUUGUUAUUUCAGCCAUUUGUGAGCUAAUUUUAUGAUUAUUUUAUUUCUAGUUUUGGAAUAUCGAAUCUUGCUGCUACUAUUGUUUGUAGGUUGUGUUAAUUUUUAGCAAUUUGUUUGUAACGUAACGACCUACGUGUAAUGUAACAAACGAACACUAAAUUAAAGUAAAUCAAUAUUUGCUAAAAAAUUUACACAACGGAGUAUGUAUAUUCAUCUCUCUCGGAGUUAGUUAUUUCUUCCCUAGAUGUCUUGAUUUCAUUCAUUCAUUCAUAAUCUGAAAUCUAAACGGUAAUGUCGAAAAUUUAGUUCAAUUUGAUUUGGAAGACAUAGUAGAGUUAUUUUUUUACAAGAAAGUCAGGUUCACUUUGCUUAAGGAAAAGUGGGAGGGUUUCAAGUUUGGUUUCAAGACCAUUGCUAUAUUUUCAAGACAUCUAUGGGAGAAAUAACUAACUCCGAAGAUUUUUUUUGGAUAUGUCAGCUGUCCCGUCAGCUGUUCCAUUUUCGCGUGGUUUCGGACUGAGCAUAGAUGCUGAAACGAACGUCUCUUUUUUUGAAAUUCCACCACCAAUUCCCUGUGUUUUGAGCUGCAUCUUGUGAAUUCAAUCAAUGCAGAGUUGUUCAAGGAGUAAAAUGGCUUGGCUUUGCAAUGACGCUUUUCAUCUCCCUUAGUCUACGCUUUUCAUCUUCUAUAGUCUAAUAAACCCAUUUAGUAACAAAGGUCUUUAGGAUGUACCUGAUGUACUCUGUUGGCCGCAAAAUCACUGAGUGACUUGGUUCAUUUCAGAACUUGGUUUUUUCAAUCGUGGUUUACAGUUUUAAUUCGCAGAGAUCCUGGAGGCACCUGAUGUGUGGCAUCAGUGUUGGAGUCAAUCGGUGACAGAAGAGAAUGCUGUCAGAAUGUUAUGUUGUCAGUGUAAAUAAAACAUAUCUAGUAUCA